AAAAUGGAAUCACAGAGGAGAGCUUCUGCUCUAAUUAAUUUUUCCCUUGGUUAGAAUAUCAGCCUUCUCAUCUCUGCUGCCCUCAUCAGAACCACCUGAAGGAUUUUUCAUCUUACUUUAUGAAAGUCAGAAGGCUGUUUUUACUGUCCUAAUUCUAAAUUGACACAGAAGGCCUGCAGAGUGUGUAGAUGUGUUCUCUGGAGAAAAACAACUAGGAAACUGAGCAGAAUAUGAAUGUCAUGUAAAAGAAAGAUACAAUGUCCAAUUACAUUAAAUAAAAUGCUCUAAGUGAAUAUAUUUUUGAUGAAAGUAUUUUAGACCAUUUCAAUGAAAUCUGUUCUUGACUUUAUGGUUUGUAUGCAUCCUAGACCAUUAUUAAUUUAGGUGGAAAACACUAUUAGUAUG